rnacentral:misc_RNA from 1 species
GAAAUGCGAUACUUGGUGUGAAUUGCAGAAUCCCGUGAACCAUCGAGUCUUUGAACGCAAGUUGCGCCGUGGAAGCCUCUGUAAAGGCCUCGCUUACAAUCGUCUUCGGACAAAACGACAUCUCAGUCAAAUCCACUUUGACCUCAAAUCAGGUAGGACUACCCGCUGAACUUAA